CCUCCGUUCCCCUUUCUCUCUCUCUCGGCUCUUCUUCUUUCUGAUCUUCUUCUUCUCCUUCUCCUUCUCAUAGCAGUAACAUAGAAACCAAAGACCCAUCUCUGAUUUCUUCUCAAUUUUCACAUUCGUCUCCCCAAAAUCAAAUCUUUUGGAAUCACCCAUUUCACAAUGUCUACCGGAAUCGUGACCCAGUUCAAGGAAGCCGGCCAAUCGACGAUGGCGGCGCACCAGCUGUGGUCCAAAUUCACCGACUCGACCGCCCCCAGCCUCCCUUCAAGCCUCUUCGACGCCUCGACCCGAGUCUUCCAGAACUUGACCCGGUUCUUCUUCUUCACAUGCCUAAACCAACAAUUUAUCGACGAGGUGGGAGCCGACGAAGCCGGCGCCACCGGUGACGACACUCCUGAGCCCGCGCCUUGCCGAGGCAGGCAGGAACCUUGCCGGUGGAGAAGGAGCCUCCAAGGUUACGUCGGUUUUCUGGAAGGAGAAUGAGCUUGAUUCGCCGGGACAUGCAGACUUUGGUGGGGAAGGUCUGCUAGCACAGACCAAGUUUGUGCUUAAAAUACGGGAUGCGUCCUAUUCUUCUUCUAAACAAAGUAGAUUGGCCUGCAGUGGCUGUUGCAUCGAUGAAAAUAUAGUGCCUUGAACCUGUUCGAUGAAAUGCGUGAGAGAGGAAUGGCCUGCAAUGUGGUCACAGACAAUAUCCUAAUUGGUGGGUUGUGUCGAGAAAUGAAGGUUUGGGAAGACGACAUAUACAAUUGUAAUUGAUGCCUUGGUUCGAUCCAAUGACAUUGGGAAGAGCUUUUCAUGUUUUUUUUUUUUUUUGAAGUACAUGUUUCUCUUCCUUUAUAUUGAGAAAAUUGAAAAUAAAUAUUACUUUUUUUUCCUUUUUUUUUUGUUCAUUUAGGUUUGACAAGGGGUAUUAUAGAAAUUUCACAAUUUUGUAUCCUGCCACGUCAUCACUUGACAGAAGAAUUGGACGGAGAAUGAGACAUUGGACACGGUUGAAGAAAAUUGAACAGCUCGGGGGUAAACUGAUUAAAUUAAGAGGACAUAUGGACUAACAUGAAGUUACCCCUGAACCUCAGGGGGGUAAACUGAAUUUAAUUCUUUAUUUUAUAUUGAUGUAUUGUUUAAAGACAUCCCUUCUUGUUUUUUUAGUAAACAAUUAAUAUUACAAUUAAGAAUGUAUAACAACUAGUCUAUCACUUUAAAGCAAUUACUAAUGCUAAUAAAUCAAUUUGUACCAGGCAAGGAAAACUAUUCUAAUUAAGGACAUUUAUACUAUUUAACAAAAGUUUCUUUCGGUUCACUA